rnacentral:lncRNA from 1 species
GGGCAUCUCCAACCAUCACUCUAAACUUCAUAUUUCUUCCCUUUUAACUUUAUAAAUAGAGUAAUCCAUCUCCAAUCAUCCAUUACUCUAUCUUUAUAUAUAAAGUCAUGCACUAUCCUACUCUAUAUAUGAAGUUGAACUUGAAGAUAAAGCACAAAUUGCUUUAUUUAUAAAAUGAAGUAAUGGUUGGAGAUGGAAUAAAGAUAUAAAGUGAAAAAGGUGA